AUGCAAAGAACAGACUCGAUGAUGCCGAGCUUCUAAAUUUUGAAUGAAAUUUGGAGCUGUCCUGCACCCAGAUUUGCAGAAGGAAAAUGGUACGAGAUGGUCAUCUGUAUCAACACAAAGGAAUCCAUAUCUAUACCAGAAAUGAGGAAGAUCAAAGAGGCCAGGAAAGUGUUCAAGUGUAUACAGCUGAAUUCCAGUGUCCUGAAUGUAGCUUCCAGAGGCUGGAGUGGAAGAAUGAGGGGUUCUAAGGGAAGGAUGCAAGGCUGGCCUGGGUACCCGUAAAAUUCAGAGGAGACCCCAGGAGAGAUCAGCACCUUUCUGUCUGAAGGGCAGUCAGCUCAGGCCAAAACAGCAUAAGAAGGGCAGAAGAAAGAACGGGGUCAGGCUGACACAAACCUACAAAUACUGCU